CCUGGCUCAGAUUGAACGCUGGCGGCAGGCCUAACACAUGCAAGUCGAACGGUAACAGGAAGCAGCUUGCUGCUUCGCUGACGAGUGGCGGACGGGUGAGUAAUGUCUGGGAAACUGCCUGAUGGAGGGGGAUAACUACUGGAAACGGUAGCUAAUACCGCAUAACGUCGCAAGACCAAAGAGGGGGACCUUCGGGCCUCUUGCCAUCGGAUGUGCCCAGAUGGGAUUAGCUAGUAGGUGGGGUAACGGCUCACCUAGGCGACGAUCCCUAGCUGGUCUGAGAGGAUGACCAGCCACACUGGAACUGAGACACGGUCCAGACUCCUAC
rnacentral:rRNA from 1 species